rnacentral:rRNA from 1 species
GGAUUGGANAUGGGCGCAGCCUGAUCCAGCCAUNCCGCGUGAGNGACGAAGGCCUUAGGGUUGUNAAGCUCUUUUGGCGGGGACGAUAAUGACGGUACCCGCAGAAUAAGCACCGGCUAACUACGUGCCAGCAGCCGCGGUAAUACGUAGGGUGCGAGCGUUAAUCGGAAUUACUGGGCGUAAAGCGUGCGCAGGCGGUUUUGUAAGCCAGAUGUGAAAGCCCCGGGCUUAACCUGGGAAUGGCAUUUGGGACUGCAAGGCUUGAGUGCGGCAGAGGAGACUGGAAUUCCUGGUGUAGCAGUGAAAUGCGUAGAUAUCAGGAGGAAUACCGAUGGCGAAGGCAGGUCUCUGGGCUGACACCGACGCUCAUGCACGAAAGCGUGGGGAGCAAACAGGAUUAGAUACCCUGGUAGUCCACGCCCUAAACGAUGUCGACUGGUUGUUGGGGGUUUGACACUCUCAGUAACGAAGCUAACGCGUGAAGUCGACCGCCUGGGGAGUACGGCCGCAAGGUUAAAACUCAAAGGAAUUGACGGA